CUCCUCUUGGUGUAGUUGGUUUAUCACGUUCGACUGUAAUAGCUUCACACAAUGCUAUCGAAAGGUCCCUAGUUCGAUUCUGGGAGGGGAGA